GUGGGGAAUAUUGGACAAUGGGCGAAAGCCUGAUCCAGCCAUGCCGCGUGUGUGAAGAAGGUCUUCGGAUUGUAAAGCACUUUAAGUUGGGAGGAAGGGCAGUAAGUUAAUACCUUGCUGUUUUGACGUUACCGACAGAAUAAGCACCGGCUAACUUCGUGCCAGCAGCCGCGGUAAUACGAAGGGUGCAAGCGUUAAUCGGAAUUACUGGGCGUAAAGCGCGCGUAGGUGGUUUUGUAAGUUGGAGGUGAAAUCCCCGGGCUCAACCUGGGAACUGCCUCCAAAACUGCAUGACUAGAGUACGGUAGAGGGUAGUGGAAUUUCCUGUGUAGCGGUGAAAUGCGUAGAGAUCUGGAGGAAUACCGAUGGCGAAGGCAGCCAUCUGGCCUAAUACUGACACUGAGGUGCGAAAGCAUGGGGAGCAAACAGGAUUAGAUACCCCGGUAGUCC
rnacentral:rRNA from 1 species